UGCCCAGCAACUCCUAUCCCUACCUCCUCGCGGUACCGCAACAUUAGGGAAGAUCGGUUAGCCAACCCCGGUGGGAACUUUGGUCGUAGGCUGACAGGGAAGG
rnacentral:ribozyme from 1 species